rnacentral:ncRNA from 1 species
CACUUGUGCGGUCGGGGUCUCAACAGCAGCGCACAAGGGGGAUUGCCUACUGUGGGGAAAGAUGUUGAAACAGGCAUAAGGGUGGCGAAGCUAGCGCCCGAACAUCGAACGGCUGGCGGGU